rnacentral:rRNA from 1 species
GACAGAGGCCCCAAGCGUUAGGCGGAAUCACUGGGCUUAAAGCGUGUGUAGGCGGAUCGUUAAGUGUCUUGUGAAAUCCCACGGCUCACCCGUGGAACUGCUGGGCAUACUGGCGAUCUUGGGCCAACUAGGGGCAGCCGGAACAAGCGGUGGAGCGGUGAAAUGCGUAGAGAUGUGGAGGAAUACCGAUGGCGAAGGCAGCCCCCUGGGCCAAUACUGACGCUCAUGCACGAAAGCGUGGGGAGCAAACAGG